CCUACGGGUGGUAGCAGUGGGGAAUAUUGCACAAUGGGGGAAACCCUGAUGCAGCGACGCCGCGUGAGUGAAGAAGUAUUUCGGUAUGUAAAGCUCUAUCAGCAGGGAAGAAAAUGACGGUACCUGACCAAGAAGCCCCGGCCAACUACGUGCCAGCAGCCGCGGGAAGACGUAGGGGGCAAGCGUUAUCCGGAUUUACUGGGUGUAAAGGGGGCGUCGACGGCAGAGCAAGUCUGCAGGCAAACCCCGCGGCCCAACUGCGGGACUGCGUUGGAAACUGCCCGGCUAGAGUGCUGGAGAGGUAAGCGGAAUUCCUAGUGUAGCGGUGAAAUGCGUCGAUAUUAGGAGGAACACCAGUGGCGAGGGCGGCUUACUGGACAGUAACUGACGUUGAGGCUCGAAAGCGUGGGGAGCAAACAGGAUUAGAUACCCCGGUAGUC
rnacentral:rRNA from 1 species